GACGAACGCUGGCGGCGUGCCUAAUACAUGCAAGUAGAACGCACAGUUUAUACCGUAGCUUGCUACACCAUAGACUGUGAGUUGCGAACGGGUGAGUAACGCGUAGGUAACCUGCCUGGUAGCGGGGGAUAACUAUUGGAAACGAUAGCUAAUACCGCAUAAUAUUAAUUAUUGCAUGAUAAUUAAUUGAAAGGUGCAAUUGCACCACUACCAGAUGGACCUGCGUUGUAUUAGCUAGUAGGUGAGGUAACGGCUCACCUAGGCGACGAUACAUAGCCGACCAGAGAGGGGGAUAGGCCAAACUGGGACGGAGACACGGCCCAGAAUCCUACGGGAGGCAGCAGGAGGGAAUCUUCGGCAAUGGAAGAAAGGCUGAACGAGCAACGCCGCGUGAGUGAAGAAGGUUGUCGGAUCGUAAAGCUCUGUUGUAAGAGAAGAACGGGUGUGAGAGUGGAAAGUCCACACUGUGACGGUAUCUUACCAGAAAGGGACGGCUAACUACGUG
rnacentral:rRNA from 1 species